CUUUUUCAGCUGUUCAGCUCCAGUACAAUUGCCCAGAAAGGUGUUACAUCCUAUGUGAUGCAGCAUGGUAUACCUCCCCCAGCAAAAUAUGGAGGCAGGCACACAGUUACCUUAAUACCAGGUGAUGGAAUUGGCCCAGAGCUGACACUACAUGUCAAGGAGGUUUUCAGGUA